rnacentral:lncRNA from 1 species
UCCACCCGAUGUAAAAUUAAUCUUUUAAGAGGUGGGUUCUGCUAUAGUGACUUGUCACUGAAAAUCCUAAGUGAAAAUCCUAGCUUGUGUGUUGCACUAUAAUAUAGGCUUGGCACAAUUUUCUAAUUCUGUUAUAAAUUGUUGAUGGGUUACUUAAUUGGUUGUGUUUUGUAUCUUUUCAAUAUAGUUACUAUUUAAUUUGUUAAGUUAUUUGUCUGCUUAGUUGAAUUUUUAUUUUAUUGCGAG